AUUGAACGCUGGCGGCAGGCCUAACACAUGCAAGUCGAGCGGAGCGGCGGACGGGUGAGUAAUGCCAAGGAAUGUGCCUGGCAGUGGGGGAUAACGUCCGGAAACGGGCGCUAAUACCGCAUACUAUCAGAUGAGCCUAGGUGGGAUUAGCUAGUGGGUGGGGUAAAGGCCUACCAAGGCGACGAGCCGUCACUGGUCUGAGAGGAUGCUCAGCCACACUGGAACGGAGACACGGUCCAGACGCCUACGGGAGGCAGCAGUGGGGAAGAUUGGACAAGGGGCGAAAGCCUGAUCCAGCCAUGCCGCGUGUGUGAAGAAGGUCUUCGGGUUGUAAAGCACUUUAAGUAGGGAGGCGUUACCAACAGAAUAGGCACCGGCUAACUACGUGCCAGCAGCCGCGGUAAUAC
rnacentral:rRNA from 1 species